UGGAGAUUGCUCCUUGUGGAGGUUUUUUUGUGAGCCCAUGGCACUGCAUCUCUGAAAUGAGGGCAAUGUCACAUUGCCGGCAGGCGGAAGGAAGUGGAAACAGCCCUAUCUUGCUAGCAAUUUGACAAGAAGCGUGCUCACGCUGUGCCGGAAGAAUCCCAGCAGCAAUUGACAGGGAGGAUUUCAAUCAGAAAUCCAUCUCCUAUAAGGACUACUCUUGGGGCCAAAUGGAGAAAGCAACCUGCAAUCUACUUUGUAUUGCUAAACAAUAAUGGGGCUGGCUCAGAUGGAAAGCACAGCUCAGAGAAAGUGAAGAUGGCUCCCCAACACUGGGGAGAGUGGAUACCAUCAGAGCACUGAGUGCAGCAAUAUAGGCCAAUGCCUCUUCAACUAACUCUGCAGUAAUCAGAGCCUAGCUCUCACCCCCCUCUACGCUUGCCUUGUGACAUUCAGCUAGCGAGAAAACAUUUUCCUGACCACAGACUAGAUUUAAAACUACUUUGGUUGCAUUUUAUCCCAACGAAUGAAAGAAACAGAGUUGGUCUGAGUGUGUGACUCUGCUCUGCCAGCAGACAGCUCAGUGCAGAGCAGCUUCUGAUCUUAGCAGAAUUAGCACCCAGCAAACUCACAAUGUGGUGAUGAGGCACUGCCUGACCAUUGCUCUGUGUGGUUCCUAAACCACAGGUGGGAUACUGGCCAAACCAACAGAGACGCAGACCCAUGUAUGACUCUGCUAUACAUCACCUGGGAGGAAGAAGCACCCUGCUCUCCUCGCCCUUCCUUCUCCAUCUCCAUUAGGCAUGGCGCUUGCCACAGCAUCCCCUCGAAGCUAAGGCAUGGUCAGAAUGGACCCCCACUCUGCCUCAGGACCUCUGUUCUUCCUAAGGAGCCUUCGUAGCUCCAGUUACACCUCUGUAUGGGUGGAUAAAGUCUCUGAAAGUUUUAUAUAACAGUGGAACCGUUUCUCAGGAAGUGGUAUUUGUGUCAUCUUUUUAUAUUUCGAGCCUGUUCCAGCUCUCUUAUCUUCUUCUUUUUUCUUUCUUUCUUUCUUCCCCCCCCCCCCCCCCAACACUAGCAGCAGCAGUGUACUUAGCCUGGUAAAUAAUGCAUACU